AUGGCGUUCCCUCACCUGCAGCGGCCCAGCUUUCUACUGGCUACCCUGAAAGCUGACUCUGUAAAUAAGCCCUUUGCACAGUGAUGCCAAGACUUGGUUAAAGUCAUUGAGGAUUUUCCAGCAGAGGAGCUGCACGCCAUCUCCCCAUGGCUGGUAGCAUUUUCGGCAGCCUGGAUGGUGUCCUUGUGGGCUGGAACCUGCGCUGCUUACAGAGGCGCGUGAAUCCUGUGAAGUACAGCAUGGUGAUGGAAUUUCUCGACCCUGGGAAGCGGCCCAAUGAUGAAGUUGGUUUAUAAGCUUCAAGCUGAAGACUUAAGUUUGACUUUCCCAUCUCCUACCUGCCCGGUCUCGUGAAGGCAUCCAUCCAGGAGUGCGUCCUUGACAGUCCUCUGUAACACAAGAUCCAGUUCCGCCCAACUAAGGGCCUUGGCCUGAACCUGGCCUUGAAUCCGUUCGAGUAUUACAUAUGCUUCUUUGCCUUGAGCCUCAACACACUAAAGCCACUCCCUGUGUCUCUCCAUGUCCAUAUUUCAGACUGUACCUAUUUCCUCCUGGUGGACAGGUACCUGUCAUGGUUCCUGCCCACCAAAGGCAGCCUGCCACCACCCUCACUGUCCUCCAGCCCAGGAUGGGCCAGUCCCUCACCUGCUCCCAGGACACCAGCCAUGCCCUUUGCUUCCUGUAGCCUCCAGCACACUAGCCCCCUGAAGCGACACUUCUCUCAUCAGAUGUCUGUGAAUGCAGACCCCGCCUCCCAGGAGAUCUGGAGGUCAGAAACUCUGCUCCGGGUUUUUGUCGAAAUGUGGCUUCAACACUAUUCUCUGGAGAUGUACCAAAAAAUGCAGUUCCCCUCAUGCCAAGCUGGAGGUGCUGCACUACCGACUCUGUGUCUCCAGUGCCCACCACAGCCCCCGGCAGCCCAACCUCCAGGCCCUCCACACCUACCAAGAGUCGUUCAUGCCCACCAAGGGGCACAUGCUGGUGGUGCGCCUGCCACUGAAGCACCUGCACGCCUUUGCCGACAGCCUGAAGCCAGAGCAGGUCUCACCUUUCGUCCACUCCCACACCACCAGCCCGCUGGGGGAGUUCAAACAGCCGCUGUCCCGAGGUUAGUCCAGCAGAAACUCUACCUCUUCCUGCGGCAUUGCUUUGGCCACUGGCCCUUGGACGCAUUGUUCAGAGCUGUCCUGGAGGUGUGGCUGAGCUACCUGCAGCCAUGGUGGUAUGCAGCUGACAAGCAGGCUGCCAGCAGCAACUCCCAGCCCCAGUGUGUCUGAGAAAUGGAGCAGCUGUUCCCGGAGCCGGAGCUCGUCAUCCCCCUACCGCCAGCACCGACUCUUCACAGCCUGCACAUUCGCCAGCAGCAUCCUGUCAUAGUGGCCACCAGUGGUCACUGAUGCCUCCUUCAAUGUGAAGAGUCACAUCUAUGGCCUGGAGGGCCAGGACUGCAAGUACACCCGAUGUUCGGGCCCGAGGCUUACACCCUGGUCCUGCACCUUACUCAGCUCAUCACGCAGGCCAAGCACACGGCCAGGUCCAUCUCGGACCAGUGUGUGGAGACUCCAGCUGGCCACUCCUUCCUGUUGUGGCUGGGCUUUGGCCCCACAGACACCAACGGCUCCUAUUCAGCCAUGACCUGGGCGAGAUGGGGCAGGACAGCGUCCAGAAGAUGGACGAGUGCCUGGAGGAGGCCCUGGCGUACCUGCGCCAGAUAUUCCGACUCAGUGAAGUGCAGCUCACGCAGAGUCUCUCACACUUGCCUUGGACACCAUCCAGGAUGAGAAUGGAAAGAAGCAGCUCCGGACUGCAUCGCGGGUGAGGACAGACUCAUCCCCACGCCCCUGGGCCAGUACCAGAUCAUCAACAGGCUGCAAAGGUUUGAAAUUGAGUACCAGGGGGACCCGGAGCUGCAGCCCCUCUGGAGUUAUGAGAUUACCAGCUUGGUCUGAGCAUCCUUCCGGCUGUCAUCUGCCAUCAAACACAGAUCAACCUGCACUUCCUAGGCAGCUACCUGACACUGCCCUGGCUACUGCUGGCUUUCUUCAUGGCCUCUCUGUUCUGCAUCAGGCCCCUCACCUGUGCACUGCUGUUCACCCUGGGCUACGCCCUCUACUCCUUGGCCAUGAUGUUGCUGACCAGGUGGGGAAGCUGCACCAGCCCUGA
rnacentral:lncRNA from 1 species